GGAGAGGUGGCUCAGAGGUUGAGAGCACUGACUGUUCUUUCAGAGGUCCUGGGUUCAAUUCCCAGCAACCACA
rnacentral:tRNA from 1 species